rnacentral:rRNA from 1 species
GACGAACCCGUGCGAACGUUGUUCGGAAUCACUGGGCUUAAAGGGCGCGUAGGCGGUCGAUCAAGUCCGGGGUGAAAUCUUUCGGCUUAACCGGAAAGUGCCUUGGAUACUGAUCGACUCGAGGGGGUAGGGCGAGCUGGAACUUCCGGUGGAGCGGUGAAAUAGCGUUGAUAUCGGAAGGAACGCCGGUGGCGAAAGCGGGCUGCUGGACCUUUUCUGACGCUGAGGCGCGAAAGCCAGGGGAGCAAACGGGAUUAGAAACCCGGGUAGU